rnacentral:rRNA from 1 species
CAGUAGCCACGGUAAUACGAAGGGUGCAAGCGUUACUCGGAAUUACUGGGCGUAAAGCGUGCGUAGGUGGUGGUUUAAGUCCGUUGUGAAAGCCCUGGGCUCAACCUGGGAAUUGCAGUGGAUACUGGGUCACUAGAGUGUGCUAGAGGAUAGUGGAAUUUCCGGUGUAGCAGUGAAAUGCGUAGAGAUCGGAAGGAACAUCUGUGGCGAAGGCGACUAUCUGGGCCAACACUGACACUGAGGCACGAAAGCGUGGGGAGCAAACAGGAUUAGAUACCCCCGUAGUCCCUGUCUCUUAUAC